rnacentral:rRNA from 1 species
UACGAAGGGGGCUAGCGUUGCUCGGAAUCGCUGGGCGUAAAGCGCACGUAGGCGGCUUUUUAAGUCAGAGGUGAAAUCCUGGAGCUCAACUCCAGAACUGCCUUUGAUACUGGAAAGCUUGAGUUCGGGAGAGGUGAGUGGAACUGCGAGUGUAGAGGUGAAAUUCGUAGAUAUUCGCAAGAACACCAGUGGCGAAGGCGGCUCACUGGCCCGAUACUGACGCUGAGGUGCGAAAGCGUGGGGAGCAAACAGGG